rnacentral:lncRNA from 1 species
CGUGCGCUUGCGGAUCAAUUCCUUAUUGCGUUCCCAAAUAUCAACAAGCAUUUCUGGCGCCGUUGCCGGGGAGAAAGAUGGUUUGCUGAGAUAACCUUGAGUCUUACUACUAGCUUGUAUCUAUACUUUUAUCUUUUCUUAUCUUUUUUCUUUAUUUAUUUUCUUCACUCUUACCUUAUGGAAAACCAAGAUUCUAAAUCAAUCUAUCAAUUUGCAACACCUUCGGAAACUGACCUUUUACCAUGGGAGUCAUCACAGCUUAUCAAAACAUCCCAGUAU